UCUAACACUAAGCAUUAAUAACUAUUCAAAUUAUAAACUAUUAAACUUUAUAAAAUACUAAUAAUUAUUAUUCCUAACUUAUAACUAUGGUUCGAUGUGUAACAUCUAUUAAAGUGUAUACAGUAUUCACAAAGCAAAAACAAUAGAUAAAGUAGAAGUCAAAAUUUGUGCUGAUAAGUGGUAUUAUACCAAUUUACUGAGUAAUAUAUAAAAAUAAUAACAUUUCAAUGCACUCCAGUAUUUCUUAAGAUUACGGAUCACUCUCUGUGUGACAGGCCUAGAUGAACCACAAUAUAAAGAAUAGAAUCUUGGGUUGAAUACAGUAACGAUACUUACAAUGACUACUAGUCGUAAGAUGCAUCUCAACAAUUUGCUUCAGCAAUGUGCUUGAUGCUGGAUCAUAAUUAUAGUGUUAUUAGCAAGCCUAAAAGAACAGCUGGAAAAGAUCUAAUGGCUCCACAGCGCACAAAGAUCAAGCAUCUUCAAGCAGAAAUAUCGCGCUUGCGAAAAAAGGACAAUCUUUCAAAGCAAGGUUAGAAGGUGCUGAAGAUUUGUCCAGCAGCAAUGUGUUUCAACAUUUUGCUAUGAAAUUUAAGAAACCAGCUAAAUUAUUUUUAAGUAUGCAGUUGCAAGCAUCAAAAAACCCAAAAAUGAUAGGAAAUAACAAUGAUUAUAUAAAGGCAAAAGAAUACAAUAAUAAAAAAUGGUUAUGUUAUCCAAAUCAAGAAUUAGAAAAUUGCUUCCAUGACAUUCAAAAUAUAAUAAUUGGGAUCUUAAAAACAGAUAUACCCAAAAAAUAUAUAAAAAAGCAUAUCAUAUAAAUAGCAGAUGUGAUGGUAGAUUAUCCUUUUUAUUGCACCACACAUAAAGAAAAGUUGAAACAAUAUUUAACUUUAUUUAUUUAAUAAUUUAUAUAACACAACUAUAAAUGUUAUUUUGUAUUGUAUAGUUGGUGCAGAUCGAUCAAUCGAAUUUUGUCCGGAAAAUUAAGAUGUGUGGGUGAAGACGAAACAAAAACAGCUGCCCAACAAUAUUAUU